CUUUUCUUAUAACAAGUAUCCUUUAGCUUUAAAUUUGACACUCAAAUUCUUGAUAUACAUAUUUACAAGAUAAAUCUAUGCAAUAAAUAAUUACAUGGCCGAAUGUCACAGAGGUAAAUUAAUGUGCCAGCUACCGCGGUUAUACAUUAGCUAGCCAAUUUCUAUUCUAUUGUUUUUGAACCUUCAAACAGCUAUUAUACAUUUGCUUAGUGAAAUCCAUCCAUUUGUUAAUAUAUGCCUAUUCAACAAAUAAAUUUAGCAGUAAAACUAGGAUUAGAUACCCUAUUAUUCUAAAUUUUAAAAAUUAAGAAGUAAAAUAAACCCCAAACUUAAUUAGGACGGCGGUAGAAUUUUAUUAGAGGAGGUUGUUCUUUAAUCGAUAGCCCUCGUUUAUUCCUUUUUCUUCAUUAUGUAUAUCGCCGUUGAAAUUCAACUUAAGAUUGAAUUAAUUUAUUUAUAAUUAUAAGUCAACAGGUCUAGAUACAAAUAAUGUAAAAGUAUGAAAUGACCUACAAAAUACAAAUAACUUUAAUGGUAUUAAUGUACAAUCAUUACAAACGGUUACCAAAGGAUUUAAAAGUAAUGUUAAUUAAUUAUUAUAGCAUAAUGAACCAUGCCUAUUCUAUGCACAUAUCGCCCGUCACCCUCCUUGGAGGUAAGUCGUAACAAAGUAGAUUCUUCGGAAGAAGAAUCUAGUCA
rnacentral:rRNA from 1 species